rnacentral:rRNA from 2 species
GCGAUAAGCGCCGGUAAGGUGAUAUGAACCGUUAUAACCGGCGAUACCCGAAUGGGGAAACCCAGUGUGAUUCGUCACACUAUCAUUAACUGAAUCCAUAGGUUAAUGAGGCGAACCGGGGGAACUGAAACAUCUAAGUACCCCGAGGAAAAGAAAUCAACCGAGAUUCCCCCAGUAGCGGCGAGCGAACGGGGAGGAGCCCAGAGCCUGAAUCAGCAUGUGUGUUAGUGGAAGCGUCUGGAAAGGCGCGCGAUACAGGGUGACAGCCCCGUACACAAAAGCGCAUGUGCUGUGAGCUCGAUGAGUAGGGCGGGACACGUGGUAUCCUGUCUGAAUAUGGGGGGACCAUCCUCCAAGGCUAAAUACUCCUGACUGACCGAUAGUGAACCAGUACCGUGAGGGAAAGGCGAAAAGAACCCCGGCGAGGGGAGUGAAAAAGAACCUGAAACCGU